rnacentral:rRNA from 1 species
UACGGAGGGUGCAAGCGUUAUCCGGAUUCACUGGGUUUAAAGGGUGCGUAGGUGGGUCUGUAAGUCAGUGGUGAAAUCUCCAAGCUUAACUUGGAACUGCCGUUGAUACUAUAGACCUUGAAUGCUGUGGAGGUGAGCGGAAUAUGUCAUGUAGCGGUGAAAUGCUUAGAUAUGACAUAGAACACCAAUUGCGAAGGCAGCUCACUACCCAGAUAUUGACACUGAGGCACGAAAGCGUGGGGAUCAAACAGG